AAAAAGUUAACAAAAAACUGUGAACUUCCUUCUGACUAACAAACAUUGAGGCUGACAGAUGCAGUACCGUACAAUACAUCAUGAUUGUACCUCGUUAGAAUCAGUUGAUAUUCUGAGGAACUGGGCCUCUUUUGACACCCAAUGGCUAUCUAGUUUCAGUUGACAGCAUCCUCGCUGGCCAAGGAGAGAUCAGGGACUUCAUCCAGACCAAAUGGCACCUUAUAAAGUCUCUCUGUGGAGUCCUUCUGUCAUUGGUAUUCUGUGGGAGAGCUGCUCGACCGCAGGGAGGAUAUGGUGGGCUGUGUACGAUACGCUGUGCGUUCACUGCUGAUGAGUUGAUGAUGGUCACAGAGUUAAACAGAGUGUGAAAACACCAUCUCCCCUGGACGGACGUGACGGCCAUCUUAACUUGUCCAGCACAGCACAGGUAGUAGAGUCAAUGGGGAAAUUGCUGGAGACCUACUGUGGCCUUUCUCUCAGUUGCACACUGACAGUAUGAUCCCAUGUUUUCUAGUGGUCUUUAGUUGUAGGCGUAAGCCGACAUAUUACAUAAAGUAUUAACCAAGCAGCAUUUGUCAUUAUAACUUGUUGUUUCAUGCCUAUGAAGUCUCUGUGUGUGAGUGUGGAAAGAAUACUAACAGGAUAAGGUUGAUUUAUAAGAUACAUGGUCGUGUUCCCUAAAAGCAGCUUUUCCAUCAUCAUCACUCCUCAUCUUCACUGGGGCUCUGAAUAGACCAGCCACACGUGUUGAGCUUGUGAUUAACGGCACAAUGGGCUGUUUGUUGCUGCCUCUCUCUCUCCACCUGGGCCUCUGUAGAUGGAAUCAUCCCUGGCAGCACUCAUGACCAGCUUGAAUCAUCCCUUCUGUUUGGGUCUG
rnacentral:lncRNA from 1 species